CGUUUGGCGGUCGAUAUCAGCGUUUAACUGUUAGCGGCAGACAAGUAGCACUUCACUAAAGUAGUUCCUCGCCGUGCCCACACCGAGGAGCUGCUUUUUUUG
rfam:Lactobacillus brevis ATCC 367, complete genome.